rnacentral:rRNA from 1 species
GCCUGCCCCGUGACUAAAAGUUCAACGGCCGCGGUAUUUUGACCGUGCAAAGGUAGCGCAAUCACUUGUCUCUUAAAUGGGGACCCGUAUGAAUGGCAUAACGAGGGCUUAGCUGUCUCCUUUUUCAAGUCAAUGAAAUUGAUCUCCCCGUGCAGAAGCGGGGAUAACCACAUAAGACGAGAAGACCCUAUGGAGCUUUAGACACCAAGACAGACCAUGUUAAACACCCCUAAUCAAAGGGCCAAACUAAAUGGCCCCCUGUCCUAAUGUCUUCGGUUGGGGCGACCGCGGAGAAACAUAAAACCCCCGCGUGGAAAGGGAGCACCUUUGCUCCUACAACCAAGAGCUUCCGCUCUACUAAACAGAAAUUCUGACCUUAAGAUCCGGCAAAGCCGAUCCACGGACCAAGUUACCCUAGGGAUAACAGCGCAAUCCCCUUCUAGAGCCCAUAUCGACAAGGGGGUUUACGACCUCGAUGUUGGAUCAGGACAUCCUAAUGGUGCAGCCGCUAUUAAGGGUUCGUUUGUUCAACGAUUAAAGUCCUACGUGAU